rnacentral:rRNA from 1 species
UCGGGUUGUAGAGCACUUUUGUCCGGAAAGAAAACCUUUGCCCUAAUACGGCGGGGGGAUGACGGUACCGGAAGAAUAAGCACCGGCUAACUACGUGCCAGCAGCGCGGUAAUCGUAGGGUGCAAGCGUUAAUCGGAAUUACUGGGCGUAAAGCGUGCGCAGGCGGUUCGUUAAGACAGAUGUGAAAUCCCCGGGCUUAACCUGGGAACUGCAUUUGUGACUGGCGGACUCGAGUAUGGCAGAGGGGGGUAGAAUUCCACGUGUAGCAGUGAAAUGCGUAGAGAUGUGGAGGAAUACCGAUGGCGAAGGCAGCCCCCUGGGCCAAUACUGACGCUCAUGCACGAAAGCGUGGGGAGCAAACAGGAUUAGAUACCCUGGUAGUCCACGCCCUAAACGAUGUCAACUGGUUGUCGGGCCUUCAUUGGCUUGGUAACGUAGCUAACGCGUGAAGUUGACCGCCUGGGGAGUACGGUCGCAAGAUUAAAACUCAAAGGAAUUGACGGGGACCCGCACAAGCGGUGGAUGAUGUGGAUUAAUUCGAUGCAACGCGAAAAACCUUACCUACCCUUGACAUGUACGGAACCUGGCUG